rnacentral:RNase_P_RNA from 1 species
GAGAGUAAGCGAAGGCAGUUGCGGAGGAAGUGUAAUCUUCCUCUGAGGAAAGUCCGGGCUCCCGAAAGACCAAACUUGCUGGGUAACGCCCAGUGCGGGUGACCGUGAGGAUAGUGCCACAGAAAGAUACCGCCAAUUAGUCAUUUGUCCCUAAAGGAUAAUAAGACAAAAUUGGUAAGGGUGCAAAGGUGCGGUAAGAGCGCACCAGCAGCAUCGAGAGGUGCUGGCUCGGUAAACCCCGGUUGGGAGCAAGGUCGAAGGAACUACGGUUGGUCUUUUACCAGUUCCGUUGAAAAGAACCGCCAGAGGCGUCUGGUAACAGUAGUCCCAGAUAGAUAACUGCCCUCUUAGCCAGCACAGCUAGGAGAACAGAACCCGGCUUAUGUCUGACUCUCUCCU